GAUGAACGCUGGCGGCGUGCCUAAUACAUGCAAGUCGAACGCUGAAGGACGAGCUUGCUCUUCUGGACGAGUUGCGAACGGGUGAGUAACGCGUAGGUAACCUGCCUGGUAGCGGGGGAUAACUAUUGGAAACGAUAGCUAAUACCGCAUGACAACAGCUAUUGCAUGAUGACUGUUUAAAAGUGUCAACUGCUCCACUACCAGACGGACCUGCGUUGUAUUAGCUAGUUGGUGAGGUAACGGCUCACCAAGGCGACGAUACAUAGCCGAACUGAGAGGGGGGUCGGCCGGACUGGGAGUGAGACACGGCACAUUGGGCUAGGGGAGGCAGCAGGAGGGCAUCGUGGGGAAUGGGCGGAAGACUGACCGAGCAGGGCCGAGUGAGUGAGGAAGGUUUUCGGGUCGUAAAGCUCGGUUGUAAGAGAAGAACGAGUGUGAGAGUGGAAAGUUCACAGUGUGACGGUAACUGACAAGAAAGGGACGGCUAACUACGUG
rnacentral:rRNA from 1 species